rnacentral:rRNA from 1 species
CCUACGGGAGGCAGCAGUGGGGGAUAUUGCACAAUGGGGGAAACCCUGAUGCAGCGACGCCGCGUGUGGGAAGACGGUCCUCUGGAUUGUAAACCACUGUCCCCAGGGACGAAGAUGACGGUACCUGGGGAGGAAGCUCCGGCUAACUACGUGCCAGCAGCCGCGGUAAUACGUAGGGAGCGAGCGUUGUCCGGAAUUACUGGGUGUAAGGGGAGCGUAGGCGGGACUGCAAGUUGGGUGUCAAAUCUACCGGCUCAACCGGUAGCCGCACUCAAAACUGCAGUUCUUGAGUGAAGUAGAGGCAGGCGGAAUUCCUAGUGUAGCGGUGAAAUGCGUAGAUAUUAGGAGGAACACCAGUGGCGAAGGCGGCCUGCUGGGCUUUUACUGACGCUGAGGCUCGAAAGCGUGGGGAGCAAACAGGAUUAGAUACCCCUGUAGUC